UGGAAGAAUGAUACACGUGAUGCAAAUAAUUAAGCUUCUCGCCACAGUUUCUUCCUAUAAAAAAAAUUGCCUUCUGAUGACUGUAACUUGUGAAGUUUUAAUUUACAGACAGAUACGGGGCAUACAAGC
rnacentral:snoRNA from 1 species